rnacentral:tRNA from 1 species
GGAGAGGUGGCAGAGAGGUUGAAUGCACUGGUCUUGAAAACCAGAGUGCCGCAAGGUACCGAGGGUUCGAAUCCCUCCCUCUCCG